GCCCAGGUGGCGGAAUUGGUAGACGCGCUGGCUUCAGGUGCCAGUGAUCGCAAGGUCGUGGAAGUUCGAGUCUUCUCCUGGGCA
rnacentral:tRNA from 1 species